rnacentral:tRNA from 1 species
GCCCGCGUGGUGAAAUGGUAUACACGAGGGACUUAAAAUCCCUUGGUCGAAAGGCCAUGUCGGUUCGAGUCCGACCGCGGGCA